GUGAGAUCUCUGGAUCCAUGUAAGGUACAGGGCAGGUUAUAGCUUUGUUAGAAAGAGAUUGUCAUGUACUACAUGAUGUCUGAUUUUCAUUUUUUACAUUAGUCAUAGGAUAACCCCUUUAAGGUCAAAACUGACUGUGUACUUAAAGGGUUAAAGCAACUCAGUGUGCCCUCCCAGGACUUUCAUGGUAUUUAUAUGUUGUUAUUAUCCUCCCUCAACUCUCAGUUUCUACUUCCCUGCAUUAACAAGCUGACAGAACUUGUUUGGAUUCGUGUAAAAAAUAAUAAGACAUAGAAAAAGGAGAAAAUUACAGGAAGAUUUCAAGCAUUGAAGAACGAAACACAACUUUUUCACAAAUUCCAGCAUGUAACAAGGUGUGAAGGAAAAAGACCGACACUCACAAAAGUAGAUGCGAUGCUUGUUUUUUAUUGCUACAUAGAGGAAGCAAAUGUGACGCGUUUCGACUCAACAAUCGAGUCUUUGU